ACUCAUCAGACGAAACGCGGCUGUGUAUUAGGUCAGGGUGUACGGGCCGGGCGUGGAGCCGGGCGUGCUGGCGACGUUCCAGUCGCGCUUCCUGUGCGACACGCGCGGCGCCGGCGCGGGCCAGCUGACGGUGCGCGUGCGCGGGCCCAAGGGCGCCUUCCGCGUCGAGAUGCAGCGCGAGAGCCAGAAGGACCGCACUAUACUAUGCAAGUUUUCCCCCACCGAGCCCGGCGACUACCGCGUGGAGGUGCGCUGGGCGGGGCGCCACGUGCCCGGCUCACCCUUCCCGGUCAUGAUCUUCGACACGCAGGAGGAGCUGCGCAGAUACCUGCAGUCCAUCACGCCCUAACCCCAGCCCUUAGCCCUUAGCCCUUAGCCCUACGAACACCAUAAACCGAGCCACUAUAGACAAGUCGAACCAUUUAUCGAUCUAAUAGGCGAAUUUAAUAGGUUUAAAACACUGAUCUAUAUAAAUGGAUAGGUGGCAUAUAUUUUUUGUUUUGUUAAACUACCUGUUGGUGUUGAUAGUUCUCUAUCUCUAUUCUAAUUUCCAAUUUUCACCAACUCGUCACAACUGUCAAUGCCAGAAUUAAAUAGCAAAAAGUACCACGUCGUAUAGCCUGUCCAUUUAAAGUGGUCGGUGGUUUAAAAACUUCUAUCGUAUUUUGAUAAUGCUAAGAUAGAUGGCGCCACUUGUAUGUAUAAAACAGUUUGGAAAUAGACUAAUCACAGCAUUUGGGUAUUCUGUCCUAUGCUUAAAUGUUAGAAUUAAAAAAAAUGAAACAUUAUUACUCUACUUUUUUAAAUGUCUUUAAGUAAAUUGUCCAAUUAAUAUCUCGGUUUAUGAUAAAAGUGCACUUGCAGCCAAGGGCGGAUCUACAUUUGACGCCAAAGGGUCACAUAAUCGUGGUCAAGUCAAGACAAAAUGUGUAAAUAUAUUUUGUCCAGCUCCUGACCAACCAGCUCAGGAGGGGUGUCAUGACCCCCCAUGCACCCCCCUGGAUCCGCCGUUGCUUGCAGCUACCACCAACGGAAACAUUUAUAAACCAUCGCCCGCCAUUGUAAAGUUAAACUUGUAUUUAGUAGGAUCUGUUGUCAAAUCUUGCUUUUUAGUUAUCAGCCAUAUCUUGUAUUUCGCUAUUCUUUUGUAUUAACGUUUACAAGUCUGAAAUAAUUUCGUAUAUUUUUGUAUCGUAUCCUAUUUAUUCUUUAGCUUUAAAAAUUAUAUUUAAUUAAAAUUUUAUAUCAUUACGAAUGGUAUACGGCAUAAUAAACUUAAUAUCAGGGUAUGGAAUGGAUAUGUCUGGAUAUCGGGUAGUGUUGCUACCAUAAAGAUCUGAUCUUUUAUAGCUAUGUUAACUUUAUUUUUGUAAUGAUUUGUACUUUUUUCAUUAUUCAUGGUAACACUGUUAUAUAAUGUUUCAAUAGUUAAAUGAUGAAUGAAUUUUUUUUUUGAAGAUUACUAUUAAACAUCUAGUUUUUUUUAAUAAAACAGCAGAGAUUGAUGUAUUGUUGCAAUUUUUUUUUUAAACUCGAAAUACUUUAUCUGAAGUACAUUCCGAUGUAAUUGUAAGAUGAUAUACAUUUUGUUUAUUUUGUUAAUAUUUAUUAACUUCAUAUAGUGUUUAGGCUUAACUUUUGUAACUAACGGACGCACUCGUUUCAUUGUUAUUGCCCGCCUCGCGCCCGCCCGGCGGGCAAACCCGCUGAUUCAUUCAGUUACUAAUUGUUAAUAAAUAAAACUUUAUUUUAAUUUAAAA